rnacentral:rRNA from 1 species
GAUGAACGCUAGCUACAGGCUUAACACAUGCAAGUCGAGGGGCAGCGGUAUCGAAAGCUUGCUUUCGGUAGCCGGCGACCGGCGCACGGGUGAGUAACGCGUAUCGAACCUGCCUCAUACUCGGGAAUAGCCUUGCGAAAGUAAGAUUAAUGCCCGGUGUUUUCAGAGUCCCGCAUGAGGCUUUGAACAAAGAUUUAUCGGUAUGAGAUGGCGAUGCGUCCCAUUAGCUUGUUGGCGGGGUAACGGCCCACCAAGGCAUCGAUGGGUAGGGGUUCUGAGAGGAAGGUCCCCCACAUUGGAACUGAGACCCGGUCCAAACUCCUACGGGAGGCAGCAGUGAGGAAUAUUGGUCAAUGGGCGGAAGCCUGAACCAGCCAAGUAGCGUGCAGGAAGACGGCCCUCCGGGUUGUAAACUGCUUUUAGUUGGGAAUAAAACGGGGCUCGUGAGCCCCCUUGCAUGUACCAUCAGAAAAAGGACCGGCUAAUUCCGUG